rnacentral:lncRNA from 1 species
CCCCAAUCAAUGUCUCCCUUCGGGUCAAGAGUUCAGGGACUCAGUGUGCUGGGCUGAGGGGCCCCAGCUGAGAGGAGGAUGGAUUUGGGGCCACGUGGAGACAUGAUUCAUUCUCCUGCUAAACACUUUCAUUGCAUUGCAGACCAUUGAAUUUUCCUGCUCCUUGUGGGAGAAUAACUUCCCCUUUGGGAUGGAAACCCUGCAUUCUGACUGGGGAGAGGAAGGGUGAUUCCAGGCCCUAUCACUCAGCUCCCAUGAGAAUUGUCAGCCCGCAGGUGUCUCCCCAGGGCCCGGGCAGACGGGCACACACUGCAAAUGAUCCCCCGCCUGAUGGCCCUGCCAGGGUCUCCUAGAGAGUGGCAUCGGCAUGGUUGUGGAUUUUAGAAGGUUCCAGACAUAGGGCCGAUGCAGGCAAAACGCUUGUUCCUGGCACCCAGAGCUGCAUGUGGGCAGGGAGAAGAGCAGAAAUGGUACUUCCUCGGAGGCACGGGCUGCUCCUGUUUGGGGAGCCAUCAUUCACAUUUUGAUCUUGAGGAUGUCUUAGGGUCCUAUUCUUCGUUCCCUCCUCCCAGCCACUGCGUUUAGGGCACAAUGCAAUGAUACAACUUUUUCCUUCUUGAAAAAGGAGUCAUUGCCCUGACCUCUCGUGUCGUCUGUGGGGCUCCAGGGCAUCCUCGAAGUCCCUAAAUAGGUUGAAAUAAACAACUCUCCAGCAGGUGAGGA